rnacentral:rRNA from 1 species
UACGUAGGGGGCAAGCGUUAAUCGGAAUUACUGGGCGUAAAGCGUGCGCAGGCGGUUGUGUAAGACAGAUGUGAAAUCCCCGGGCUCAACCUGGGAACUGCAUUUGUGACUGCACAGCUGGAGUGCGGCAGAGGGGGAUGGAAUUCCGCGUGUAGCAGUGAAAUGCGUAGAUAUGCGGAGGAACACCGAUGGCGAAGGCAAUCCCCUGGGCCUGCACUGACGCUCAUGCACGAAAGCGUGGGGAGCAAACAGG